CCUACGGGAGGCUGCAGUGAGGAAUAUUGGUCAAUGGCCGGAAGGCUGAACCAGCCAUGCCGCGUGAAGGUCAGUGCCCUAUGGGCGUUAAACUUCUUUUGUGCGGGAGCAAUAGUGGUCACGUGUGGCCAGACGAGAGUACCGUACGAAUAAGCAUCGGCUAACUCCGUGCCAGCAGCCGCGGUAAUACGGGGGAUGCAAGCGUUAUCCGGAUUUAUUGGGUUUUAAGGGUGCGUAGGCGGUGAGGUAAGUCAGCGGUGAAAUGCCCCCGCUCAACGGGGUGAAGUGCCAUUGAUACUGGCUGGCUGGAGUGCGGAUGACGUAGGAGGAAUGUGUGGUGUAGCGGUGAAAUGCAUAGAUAUCACACAGAACACCGAUUGCGAAGGCAUCUCACGAAUCCGCGAUUGACGCUGAUGCACGAAAGCGUGGGUAUCGAACAGGAUUAGAUACCCCAGUAGUC
rnacentral:rRNA from 1 species